rnacentral:rRNA from 1 species
AAGCGGUGAAUGCUUUGGGGUGGGGUGACUGCGUACCUUUUGUAUAAUGGGUCAGCGACUUAUAUUCUGUAGCAAGGUUAACCGAAUAGGGGAGCCGGAGGGAAACCGAGUCUUAAUUGGGCGUUAAGUUGCAGGGUAUAGACCCGAAACCCGGUGAUCUAGCCAUGGGCAGGUUGAAGGUUGGGUAACACUAACUGGAGGACCGAACCGACUAAUGUUGAAAAAUUAGCGGAUGACCUGUGGCUGGGGGUGAAAGGCCAAUCAAACCGGGAGAUAGCUGGUUCUCCCCGAAAGCUAUUUAGGUAGCGCCUCGUGAAUUCAUCUCCGGGGGUAGAGCACUGUUUCGGCUAGGGGGCCAUCCCGGCUUACCAACCCGAUGCAAACUGCGAAUACCGGAGAAUGUUAUCACGGGAGACACACGGCGGGUGCUAACGUCCGUCGUGAAGAGGGAAACAACCCAGACCGCCAGCUAAGGUCCCAAAGUCAUGGUUAAGUGGGAAACGAUGUGGGAAGGCCCAGACAGCCAGGAUGUUGGCUUAGAAGCAGCCAUCAUUUAAAGAAAGCGUAAUAGCUCACUGGUCGAGUCGGCCUGCGCGGAAGAUGUAACGGGGCUAAACCAU